rnacentral:rRNA from 1 species
UACGUAGGGUGCAAGCGUUGUCCGGAAUUAUUGGGCGUAAAGAGCUCGUAGGCGGUUUGUCGCGUCUGCUGUGAAAUCCCGAGGCUCAACCUCGGGUCUGCAGUGGGUACGGGCAGAUUAGAGUGCGGUAGGGGAGAUUGGAACUCCUGGUGUAGCGGUGGAAUGCGCAGAUAUCAGGAAGAACACCGAUGGCGAAGGCAGAUCUCUGGGCCGUAACUGACGCUGAGGAGCGAAAGCAUGGGGAGCGAACAGG